GUGCUUUGUUCAGCAGCUCCUUCACAUACUAAAAUUAAACAAUACAAAGAAGGCUUAGCAUGACCACUGUGCAAGGAUGGCACACAAAUUUAUAAAGCAUUCUAUUUUUUG